rnacentral:rRNA from 1 species
GACGAACGCUGGCGGCGUGCUUAACGCAUGCAAGUCGAACGGAAAGGCCCUGCUUGCAGGGUGCUCGAGUGGCGAACGGGUGAGUAACACGUGGGUGAUCUGCCCCUUAUUUUGGGAUAAGCCUGGGAAACUGGGUCUAAUACUGGAUAGGACCAUGCUGUAGGUGGUGUGGUGGAAAGAUUAGUUUCGGUAAGGGAUGAGCUCGCGGCCUAUCAGCUUGUUGGUGGGGUAAUGGCCUACCAAGGCGUCGACGGGUAGCCGGCCUGAGAGGGUGGACGGCCACAUUGGGACUGAGAUACGGCCCAGACUCCUACGGGAGGCAGCAGUGGGGAAUAUUGCACAAUGGGCGCAAGCCUGAUGCAGCGACGCCGCGUGGGGGAUGACGGCCUUCGGGUUGUAAACUCCUUUCAGCCAUGACGAAGCCCUUGUGGUGACGGUAGUGGUAGAAGAAGCACCGGCUAACUACGUG